rnacentral:rRNA from 1 species
UAAACGACUCUCGGCAACGGAUAUCUCGGCUCACGCAUCGAUGAAGAACGUAGCAAAAUGCGAUACUUGGUGUGAAUUGCAGAAUCCCGUGAACCAUCGAGUUUUUGAACGCAAGAUGCGCCCGAAGCCUUUUGGCCGAGGGCACGUCUGCCUGGGCGUCACAC